CGGGGGGGGCAAGCGUUGUUCGGAAUUACUGGGCGUAAAGGGCUCGUAGGCGGCCAACUAAGUCGGACGUGAAAUCCCCAGGCUCAACCUGGGAACUGCGUCCGAUACUGGAUGGCUUGAAUCCGGGAGAGGGAUGCAGAAUUCCAGGUGUAGCGGUGAAAUGCGUAGAUAUCUGGAGGAAUACCGGUGGCGAAGGCGGCAUCCUGGACCGGCAUUGACGCUGAGGAGCGAAAGCCAGGGGAGCAAACGGGAUUAGAUACCCCGGUAGUCCUGGCCCUAAACGAUGAAUGCUUGGUGUAACGGGUAUCGAUCCCUGUUAUGCCGAAGCUAACGCAUUAAGCAUUCCGCCUGGGGAGUACGGUCGCAAGGCUG
rnacentral:rRNA from 1 species